UGCUGAGCAGCCACUGUGCUCCCCAGUGGGCCUGCAGCUCCAGCCCUCCGUGGCUGCCUCGCCUGUGUCCCUGCACCCUCCUGGCUGGGCACGCCUGCCAAGUCCGUCUUGGCACGGCUCCCUCAGCUGCUCCGAACAAAGCCGUCACCCAUCCCUGAGCAGGCGCUGACAGUAAGCAAAGUGACAGGCACAUCUUCUGCAUGUUAAUCCAAACAACAAGAAGGCAAGUGAGCAGUGCCAGAUCCCCUGCACAACCACCCCCGGCCUGUACACCCCACCCUUGGCACCCAUCGGCCUUGUGCAGGGCUGGUGAGGCCCCCGGGUGUGCCAAAGCCUCCCUUUGGCAUGUUUAAAUCAAAACAAACGGCCGAGCCACCCCAGUCGGCGGGCAAAUGAGGCCACUCAGCUUCCGCGGUACCUGUUCCUGCUGUCUUCAUCUUGCCUUGGACGUGUGACAAGAGCCAACUCGCCUCUGGUGGGCUCUCCGAGCUGCGGGUCUGUAACCCUUUGCAGGAAGUUGGCACCGAUCCCAGUUUUUGGAGACAACCUGUGUAUUGUCAAGGCCCAGGCAGCUCUGGAGAUGCAGCCAAGGUCUUGGGGCCAGGCACAGCACACACGUUCAACAGAAGAUCUGCUGACUUAAAAGACUUGAUACCUGACAGCAACAGGCAGGACAAAGAAUCAAAGGUGUCUGGUCCCAGGGAUUGUCUGCUUUACAUUCAGCCUUUGUAACAACAACAACAAAAAAAUAAAAAUCCCUCAUCUAACUCAAAGUAAAGUCUUAAGAAGAUUCCUGAAGUACCACUGAUAUAACAGAGGCUUAAGCAACUCCAGAAACAGAAGGCUGGUCCAGGAUUGUGCCAUGCCAGGCUUGCAAGUAAAGCCUCACCCAUCUGUUGAUACAGAAUCAGACCACUUGUUCCAUUUGCAAUAAGGAUCAUACCCCUCUCUAUCCCCAGUUAUCCAAGUAAUGAUGAAUGUUGGAUCUGUGCUUAAAGGAUGGCUGGAGACCAGGGGUCUGAGAGCUGCAGAAGGGGAUCAAGAAGAAAUUAAUUUGCACUACAACUCUCACACCUGAUGAGAUGUCCAAGGACAUUUGGAUGAAGAGCAAAUUCUUAGAAGAACGCAAGUCUUCUCAGAAAAGCUCAGAGCAGAAGACCAAUGAGGAAACCUGUAUGAUGUACAGUGCUGUGACCUACUUGCUUCAUGCAAUCCAGCAGGAGAAACCCCAGUGUGGGGAGGGGUAGAACAACUGACCAUGUACAGCAAUUUCAGUGCCCAUUUCAGAGGCCACAGAGCAUCAUUCUUAUCUGCUGGCUGCAGGAAACUGCUAAGAUAUCAGGGGAAUUAAGAAGUUCUCUCAUUGAAAUGUCUUCUUCUCCAGCUGGUCAUGCACCCAGAAUGAGAAUUUGCCGAUAUUAUGCUAUGACUAUGUAGAGGUUGUCAGACCAUGAGAAGUAAGUGUUCCUCGAUGAUUUUAAGGGAAUGGAUGUGUUUGGAUUUCAUUAGAAGUGCUGAGAGCAGAACAGCAACAGUUUGGUCUUACAGAUGUAGUUUGUGUUCCUCUUACUAUAGUGUGAUUACCUAGCUGAGUUGUAGAGCACGUAUAAAUUCAGAGCCCUCCUGAGAUAUUUUGGGUUAUGUUAAAGCCUUUCUUGUUAACUGUUAAGUUUAAUUAGGCUACCAAGUGUUUAUUUUAUACGGAGGAAGAGAACACAGCUGGCUCUUUUCACAGACUGUUCGCUAGGGAGUUGGAGGAAAGGGGAGCUCAGAAAGACCACAUGGAACAUCCUGGAGGAAGCUGUAUUUAAUUGAGAUCUGGGGCUGCAGAUCCUGAAGAAUAGCAGUAGACCACAAAAGAUAUAGUGACACUUGAUUGAUAAGGUCUCUACAGACCUCUGGCCCUUUCCCCUUGGGGAAGAACAGAGUGAGACCCCCUGUGACUGCUCAUCCUUUCCUGAUGCAUUUAUAUUUAAUCUGGAAGCCCGUAUUUUGUGAUUCCAAAGCCAUAUAUUUCAGGCCUGAAAGCCCCUCCUGAAAUUUUGGAGCUGCCUUUACUAUUAUUGACAUAAUAAAGCAAGUUAUGUCUCCACUGGGAACAGAAGUAGCAGGUAGUUCUGUUUUAUAUAGAUGUGAGAAAAAGUCAAGAAGUAUUAAUAAAGGGUUUAAAAAAAGGUGUCUGCUAGACUUUCACUUUAGUGAUGCUGUCAAUUCACCACGUUUUGUAAGUACAGUCUGAGCUCCUUUAGGCAAGCUGGUCCAGGCAGCAAUGCUGCCGCAUUAUGCAGUGUCCUGCUCCUGCUGUACAGACAAACCUGUUGCCAGAGCAAAGCACCUACUCAUUACAAGCACCCAUGGUGCUUUGCUGAGGAAUGUGCAGGCCCUUAUCCAGGCCCUGGCUUUUAUUUCAACAAAGGGCCUCAUUGUUGCACUUGAUCUUGGUGCCUGCUGCACAAACAAAUGCUUUAAAUGCUCCUUCACUGAAACACAAAGAAGUACAAGGGAAAAAGAAAGGUAAGAAAAAAUACAGUUUUCCCUGGGCUCUGAAAAUUUGAUUGAAGAUAAGGUCUGAAACAAACUUAAUGGUCCAACUGGAGCUCUGUCAAAGCCACAGAUUUAAUCUGUGCUCUUGGGAGUGAUGUGAAAGUCCUGCAGUCAGACAAGGUUUCAGGGAGGAGGGAGCUCAGCACAACUCCUUUCAGUGAAAUUGGAUUCAUAACCAGGAGAGCCACUGGCAUCUUCUGACUACAGGAGACAGUAUUUAAACAACUCACGUACACGAAGAAUCCCAGAAUCCCUUCUUCCUUAAAUAUCCUGACGAUGGCACUGAACACACCGCUGCCAAGAAAGGAAAAGAACAAGCUUGCAGAGGUUUCUCCAUCUCUGUCCUGCACAGCUUCAUGUGGCCAUAGAAGUGUCCCCCCCACAAGUCACCCUGCCAUCAAUGUAGCAGGCAGCAUCAUUCUAAUCCUCAACUCAUGAAGAAGGGUAGUGUCUGUGCUCUGCCAAUUUGCAGUAACUCCAGGACUCAACUUGCCAACAUCUAUGUUUAAAUGCUGAAGCUAGAAGAGGUCUGAUUGGCUUUGUGUGAGUGGGUAAGUGUGCCACAACCAUGGCAUGUAAAGUGCUUUGAUUUGGCUGAUUCUUCUGCUGCACCCCUGGGAGCUGGUGACAGCAGGCGUGUGUUAGCUGCACCAAAACACCCAUUGGCACAAGGCUGAACUGAGACACAUGUGAAGGGACAAAGUCCAGCCUUCCCACAUCCCUUUACCCCAUGCUUAUCCAACCUCUAUCCACAAGAUUCGCUUUUCAGUCUCCCAAACCUCCUGGGUCACCAUAAUCCCCACUGUGUGGGAACAUCGGGCAUGCCUGACUCCAGGACUCGUGCUUCUCACUCGUGCCCACACUCUUCAUUCAGAGCUGCAGCCAUUCACCUGUAUUUGACUUCCCGGCCUAUGAACUGGACCAUGCAGCGCAUAGAGAUCACUAGGAGAACAGAAACAUAAGCUGACAAACAAAUCAAGUUUGAGUUGUGAUGGAGGUGAAGGAAAAUGCAACCCGAUCCUUCUGCCACCCCUCUUCUCCUCUCAAAUCAGCUCCUCUCUGUGGUCCUCAUCACUGUAAGGCUCAUUAGAAAACAGUGAUUUCCCUUAGUUUCUAAGUGGAGGGAGGGAUUUCUGGUCCCAACCCCAAUGGGACCUCUGUGACAAGCUUUAAGACGAGUGAGAAGAGAUCACCUGGGACCCACAUCUGUUCUGUAGUUUCAUACAAAGCCACUUCUAAUAGAAAACCACAUCAAGUAAACAGGAUUUUGGAAGUGAUCCUGAGCCAGGGAAGGGUUCCUCAAUCUGGAGAGGACAGCCAGGCAGAAGGACAGAACUCACCAUGCAGUGGAUGUGACACGACCCGAGACACACACUGCAUCAUCAUCUCAUGAGAUGUCUGGGAAAGGGAGAAAACACCACAGCUAUGUGAAAAGCUCCACCUGUACAGAUCAGGAUCUUUCCCUUAGUGUAGGAAAGCCCACUUCAGGUCCCAGACCUGUUUUUAAGUAUGUUUUUCACAGUAAACCUCUAUUUCUAUGAAAUAUCCCACAUCUGGACACAAUGGCUACUAAAUACUUCAGUCUUUUUACCCAGAAUUUCCCUCCAUGUAAUUUCACCCAAAAGCCACAGUUUAAGCUUCCUUUGCUCUUCAGGCACAUUCCCAGUGUGAUCUCCCUAAUCACUCAUUAACAUGCUAUAUCCAUUUCUCACCUCUUUCACCACUUUCCUAAGGGAAGUCUUCAUAUCAUCCUUGUUAGAAACAUGCUCCAUGUCCUCCAGCGGAAAGGCCUGAGCAGGAGAGAAGAAACAUAUGGCCAAAACUGAUGGAGAUGCUGACCCACAAGCCUGUGAUUUCUGAGGGCUGGAAGGAAACCUUCAGCAGUUGUGUUCUAAACUACAGUAGAAAAACAGACAAGGAGGAAGACAGGAGAACGAAGGAUGGAAGGUAAAACAGAGGAAAACUACCAUGAGACUGCUUGUAAAAGAUAAAAGGCACGUGACUGGUCAAAUUCAAUUGAGAUUCUUUAGAAAGUAAGUUCUGGGGAUAUGGGCACUGUUUUCCUUCUGUCCUGGAGGACUAUUUAGAGCCACCAGGUGGUGGAGUGGAACAGGUACUUUAAUCCUCCAUGUUCAGUCAUGGCUGGGUACAAGCACAUGCAGGCUCUGUUGCUCUUCUCCAGUAGCACUGUCUGCCCCAGCAAGAUGAUUUACGGAGAGAGAAGACGACCUUUACCUUCUUCACGUUUCCCCUGGUGACAGUCGAUAAAGUGCUUGAGAUGAGGCGAGGAGUAAGACCGCGGAAGAGGCCUCUUUUCCCAUCCACUUUCACAAUGUGUCUGGCUGGGUAAGAAAAGACCAGGCUGCUGUCAGCUGGGAUACAGCCAACCUGUGGAGAAUAUCCUGCCCCACUUCAGCAUUCAGCUGAAACCACGCUGGAGCUCUGGAAGUCACAGCAACUGCUCUGCAGUCCUGCCACAAAUGUUUUAUUAUAAAGCUCUAAAUAAAUUUAAUAUAGGUUGCAAAGAAAA